CCUGCUUGAAGGGAGGGGCGGGCCAGGUCUGCUAAGCCCCGUUUAGGCUCCAACAGAGUUCGAGUGUGCGGCACCCCCGAGGUGGGUAAGUAGGCACAUGGGGCAAACCCCACCAGGGUGAGUGAGGAACGACGUGGAACAAAAUCCCUGAGGUGACGUGGGGACAUUCAAGUUCCAGAGUGGUGAUGCAUCUGACAUUUACAAUGGGAAUAUCACUGAUUCUCCACAGAAGGUUACAAUACCCCAGGGCAAAUCAUGAAAGCAAUUUUACGGCUUAAAAAAUGUUUCUCUGUAGGAAAUGGUGGGUUAGAGGAUAAUGCCAUGUAUACUGAUGUGGACACUCCCCCCCUCCAUUUUGAAACGAUUUUUAAAACUUCCUGCUCCUUUAAGUCCAAAGGAGAUGGACGUGAUUGUAUAAUUAUUUCAUCAUUUAAAAAAAAUCUACUUGUCUCCCAAUGGCAGACCGCACAGCAGUGUGGACAGUGACGUCCCCCUCUACUCCCCAUUUCUCUCACCUUUUCACCUUGCUGCCUGGUGAUUUCUCGGUCAGUUUCACAGUCCAACUUAUUUCCAACUAAGAGAAGUUCUGCAUCUUCUGAAGCAUACUGUGGAAUUUUACAAGAAGCCGCAUUUCAAAGUUGUAUUCUUCAGUAGAGUCAAGGAGAAGCAGAGCAGUUACGCUGGGGAAUGCAUUCACUUCCCAGAGAAAUAAUGAUUUUCAGGGGUGUCCUGUGCCUUCCUGGAACUGUCCCAGCAUGCUUUUCCCCACAGGCGGGAGUCACGGGGAUACAGAUUUUAUAAGGCGUCAUCCGAUUUCGGACAUGAUAUUUCUACCAAGGGAGAGGAUUUCCGGCGUCUUCGUGGAGUCGAGAGUGGGAAAAUAAAUUAAGAAAGGAGUCAAAGUCACAUAGAGAGAGGUAAAUUUAACAUCGGAAAACAAGUCACUGGCACGUGGGGCCAGUCUUCUGCCCAAAUACCACCUACCAGAGGAGAGUACAACCUAAGUCCCCAGAGGAAGCACCAUGUAAAGAAAAAAAGGAUUCAAUGACGAUUCAACGCAAGAGAAACCAAGUGCUACGACUGUAAAAUACCCAGCAGAAGGUACUAUUAUUAAAAUAGAAAAAUGAUGGUAUAUGACAUUAAAAAUGCUCAC